CUCCUCCCCAACUCAUUCUAUGAGGCCAACAUCAUCUUGAUACCAAAAUCUGGCAGACACACACACACACACACACACACACACACACACACACUCUUCAGGCCAAUACCCUCGAUGAACAUCAAUGCAAAAAUCCUCAACAAAAUACUGGCAAACCAAAUCCAGCAGCACAUCAAAAAGUUAAUCCAUCAUGAUCAAGUAUGCUUCAUCCCCAGGAUGCAAGGUUGCCUCAACAUACACAUAUCAAUUAAUCUGAUUCAUCACAUAAACAAAACUAAAGAUAAAAACCAUGUGGUUAUCUCAAUAUAAGCAGAAAAGGCUUUCAAUAAAAUUCAAUGCCUCUCCAUAUUAAAAACUCUAAAAAAUCUGGGUAUUGAAGAAACAUAGCUCAAAAUGAUGAGCUGUUUUUGUAUCAGUAUCAUGCUGUUUUGGUUACUGUAGCCCUGUAGUAUGGUUUGAAGUUGGGUAACAUGAUGCCUCCAGCUUCGUUCUUUUUGCUGAGGAUUGCUUGGCUAUUAGGGCUCUUUUUUUUGGUUCCAUAUGAAUUUUGAAAUAGUUUGCUCUAGUUCUGUGAGGAAUGCCGUUGGUAAUUUAAUAGGGAUAACUUGCAUCUGUAAAUUACUUUGGGCAGUAUAGCCAUUUUAAUGACAUUAAUUCUUCCUAUCCAUGAGCAUGACAUGUUUUUCCAUUUGUUUGUGUCUUCUCUGAUUUCUUUGAGCAGUGUUUUGUAAUUCUUCUAGAGAUCUCCUAGAGAUCUUUCACCUCCCUGGUUAGCUGUAUUCCUAGGUAUCUUAUUUUUUCUGUGUGUAGCAAUUAUGAAUGGGAUUGUGUUCUUCAUUUGACUCUCUGCUUGACUUGAUGUAUAGGACUGCUAGUAAUUUUUGCACAUUGAUUUUGUAUGCUAAGACUUUGCUAAAGUUUAUCAGCAGAAGAAGCUUUGGGGCCAAGACUAUGGGGCUUUCUAGAUAUAGAAACAUGUCAUCUGUAAACAGAGACAGUUUGACUUCCUGUCUAUUCCUCUCUUCCCUCCUCUGUUUGGAUGCCCUUCCAGUUUUGCACAUUCAGUGUAAUGUUGGCUGUGGGUUUGUCAUGGCUAGCUCUCAUCAUUUUGGCACUUCUGACUAGAAGGGCAAGAGGGGCCAGUGUUGUUGUUACCUGAAAGGUAAGUGCAGCCCACAAAAAUGCAGUGAAGAAGAAGAUGUAUUAUGCAUAUGUUUAAGUUAAUACAAUUGAGAUAUAUUUAGCAGACAGAAUCAAUAGAGUUGAUGAGUGACUGACUGGAUGUGUGGGGAGUUUAUAUCACUCCCAGGUUUUUGACUUGGGCAACCGGGCACUCAUGAAGGAAAAAGGGGAUCCAGGGAGAGGAACUUUUCUGAGGACUGGGGUAGGGCUGAACAGCUGCAUUCGAGGCUGGUGGAGGGUGGGCUGGGCAUGGGAUGCACAAAUGGAAAUUCCACUGGGUCUGCAGCUCACACAUAGGCAUGACCAGCAUAGAGAUAGAGAGGCCCCAGUGCUGCUGAGUAACUGUGAUUCCCCAGGUGAUGGCAUCAGCUGAGAAGGGAAGGAAGCCCAUGAGAGGACACUGAAGAAGGAGUGAGCAGACAAUAAGAAGCCCACAGAAGACAGAGAAGGAACAACUAGAGGGAGAAGCCAAGGCAGGCGUGUGUGGUAACACAUAGGAACUGAGGGAGAGGACAUUUCAAGAUGGUGGGGAUGCCAUACAACAGGACUAUGUGAUGGUUUUUGGCUGUGUCCAUAGGAAGUCACAACAGGCAAGGGAAAGAAACCAGAACCCAGUCAUGGAGUUAAGAAGUGAGUCAGAGAGUAGAUGGGUAGGGACAGUGAGGUAAGGCCUCUUUCUAAGGAAGUUUGGCUGAAGGAUAGACUAGCUGGACACAUGCUGGCUGUGUGGGGUAGAGGGAGGAAUGAUGGAGGGUAGGAGAGCCUUGAGCCUGCGAGAAGAGUCUCUUAGAAUAGAGAAGCUGAAGUUAAAGUUGUGGAAGAGAGUGGGGAUAACUGAGUGACAGAUAAUCAGGAGAAGAAAAGGAGAUCCAGACUCAUGACAGAGAGAUGACCUUUGCCAAGAGCACAGCCGUCUUUCACGGUCACAGAGAGGUAGGACAAAAUGAGUGGUGUUCAAGAAUUGGUUUGUAGCACAAUAUUUCAACUAUGUCCUUUAAAAAGUUUCUCCACAGACACUACCCAAAGCAGUGCUUCACUACAGUGGCAGACAGACCUGAAAAUUUUCAUCUGAAGCAGCAGAGUGAACUGCAGAGGCAGGUCACCAACCAGUGUGGAGGCUAAAAGCGGGCCUCUUUGGGGAUUCCAGGUGGAAGUGUUGGACAUCUGUAGUAUUCCUGGUCUCGAAUCAUCCUGAUAUUCUUCAUUUUGUUAUUCACAUUGGACUAGGCAGGAACAAAGAUCACCACAACUGGCUCCCCUUCAACUAUGUUAGAUGGCAACUUGCCUUCAGUAUGGUGAAACACAUCAGUUAAGACCGGGGUUGUGCAUGGCAGGACUUUCUACAAGGACACCCAGUCUCCUUAAUAAACAUGAGAUGCUCUCUUUCCAGAAUUUCUCUUGCCUGACACAGCAUAGGAAGAUGCUGAACGGCCACACAGUGAUCCAUUGAGAUAGAAUCUCACUAUGUUGACCAGGCUGGUCUUGAACUCUUGGCACCCAAGCGAUCCUUUUGCCUGGAAUCCCAAAGUGUCAGAUUUACUGAAGAAUAUUUCAUUGUAAUUACUUUUUAUACUUUAUAGGUCAAGAGCUCUGUUUUAAAUACAAAAUUUAUUGAAUAUACUUUUUCAAACAAAGUUUCAUGUUCUAAUCAUUGUCUGAUUUCAGCAUUAAAUGAAACACAGUAAAGAAAGUUGGGCUGAUGUUGUUGUUGGUGGUUGUUUUUGUAUUCUGAUUACAGAACUGUAUUUUGAGUGGGCUGAACAUAGAGUAAAUGCAUCCUCAGCUGCU
rnacentral:lncRNA from 10 species